UUCCCCUUGGAAAAGUUCAUUCUGGGCUUAGAGGGGUGCUGCGCGCCGUUUAAUUUGCUAAAAAAGACGAGAGCAAUAAUCAGCGGUGAGAUUAGGAGGCAUUACUGAGAUAUUAAGUAUGCACACCGGCUUAUAACCACAAACAGAUAACAAGACUCUGCUCGGCGAAAAGGAAUUGGGUGGGAGUUGGAGCUGUGUUGCUUAGGCUUUUUACCCCCAGUGUGGAGUAGAAGCCGUCCCUGUGCCUCGCAUAUACUCUGCAUAUCACAAGAUUUGGUCUCUCCUCUCUCUUUUCUGGAGCUGCUGUAGGACUGGCUAUGGCCACCACUACUUCCGGGAUCCGUCAUUUCAUUCGCCCACCGCUCAGCGCUGCGAACUGACUCUGUUUCUAUAAGCAAGCUAGCAGCCAACCUGCCAACACUCGCUGACACUCACUCAUCUCAGUCUCGCCAGAUAGACGAAAUACCUACGGGGGAAAGAAAGGAAAGAUCCGAAUCGCAAUCUCUUAAUUUCUACUGCUUUUUUUCUUUUUUUUACAGUGAUAAUAAAACAAGAUAGCGAUCUGGAGGCAUUAAAGGAGACGCGGACUUGCGGGAUGAAAACGGACUAAAAAGAUUCGCCCUUCUCUUGAACAUCAUCACCAACCGUCAUUCAUUCAUUACCUUGACAACCUCUGGCUUUGAUUGACAGCUGGAGUGGCAAAAAGCCAUGAGACACGACAGUUUAGUUACAUGCAGGUUGUUGAUGGGCCGAUUGUAACCUUCACUUUGGCGCAUUUUUUUCUUUUUUUUUCCGUGGCAAGAGGGAAAACAAGAAAAAUUGCAAAACUCCCUGAUGCUACGAUUUCAACUGAACCACACUGGCGAAUAGGAGAAUUCGCAAAGUUGGUUGAAACAGGAAUCUUUGCCACUAAAUCACUUUCUAACCGGGACUGGGAUAUUAAAUAUACGACAGAUUCAGGAGUUUAUUGGAGCGCAGCCUGAUGGCGCAAAGGUACGAUGAGCUGGCCCAUUACGGUGGGAUGGACGGAGUCCCGGCGUCGAUGUACGGGG